rnacentral:lncRNA from 1 species
ACGGAGGAGAAGAAGCCGACGCCUCUACUCACCACCGACAGGGUCGAGAAUAGGUUAAAGAAACCAACCACCUUCAUCUGCAAGCUCAAGUCAGUAUUCUCACUUCUAGCAAACGACUAACUACAUCGUGUUUACAUAUUAGACUGAUAAUCAUCUUCUUGAAGGUUCCGGAAUGAGCUCCCUGACCCUAGUGCUCAGCUUAAGCUUAUGACCAUUAAGCGGGAUAAAGAUCAGUAUGUUACUCUAUUGCCAAAAAGAUCUUCCAGUUUUAUUUCUUGACUCCGUUUUACUUCUUAAAUCUGAUACAGCUAUUUGAUCCGACCACUAGAUUUACAAAGUAUACCAUCACAUCGCUGGAGAAAUUAUGGAAACCAAAAAUCUUUGUCGAGCCUGAUCUUGGAAUACCCUUGGAUCUGCUUGACCUAAGUGUAUACAAGUAUGAUCUCUCAAUAAAGUUUGACUGUCUUUAAUGCGAGAGACCUCAUCUACUCGGAUACUUACUAAUGUAGCUCUUUUCUUUCAGCCCUCCCAAAUUCAAGGCACCUCUUGCCCCUGAAGAUGAAGAACUGCUGCGUGAUGAUGAUGCUAUUACACCUAUUAAGAAAGAUGGCAUCCGGAGAAAAGAAAGGCCAACUGAUAAAGGUGUUUCCUGGCUCGUGAAAACACAAUACAUUUCUUCUAUUAAUAAUGAAUCGGCAAGACAGGUAUCAAUCUCACUUGUUGAAAGUUUCUUUUGUUAUUUAUAGCUUGUGAAAGCAGUUUCCAAUCUUAUAUGUUCUCCAUGUGUAGUCGCUAACUGAGAAACAAGCAAAGGAACUGCGAGAGAUGAAAGGAGGCAUCAACAUCUUGCACAAUCUUAACAAUAGGUGUGUUAUUUCUCAAAUUUGUGUAUUUCUAAACAAAGUGAAAAAAGAAGGUCUAAUGGUUUCUUUUUCUUUGGUCUCUAGAGAGAGACAAAUCAAGGAUAUUGAAGCAUCCUUUGAAGCAUGCAAGUCUCGACCAGUUCAUGCCACCAAUAAAAGCUUGCAGCCGGUUGAAGUUUUACCACUGUUGCCAUAUUUUGAUAGGUUGAUUGCUCCUUAUUUUCCCUUUGAGACAAUCUUAAAUCUUAAAUCCCGAAUCAGGCAAUUUUUUCUCAUAAUAGCCCUGCAUGUAGACACAACAAUGAAGCCCUUGAAAGCUGACACUUUACGGUAUUAUCUGUAUGUUGGCUUUCUGUGAAGGAUCUCCUGUGGUGGUAAACAUGCGCUUAUAGUUUUCCAGUUGCUAUAGAAUAAUGUAAUCAACCAGAUGGGAAAGCCAGCCAUUAAAGUCUAACUAUUCAACAUUUAAGAGAUGUUGGUCUUUAUUUUUUCCCCUUUUCUCUGCUCCAUGUCUUGUUCAAAUGUUUCUUUGCAAGAGUUUUAGUGCAUUGCCUUUUGGAUGAAAAAUCACUAAUAGUUUUCAACUUGUAGCAUAUUAUGCUAAUAUAUUUGUCUCUUCCCUUCUUUUUUCGAUACAGGUACGAUGAGCAGUUUGUGGUAGCGAAUUUUGAUAGUGCUCCUACAGCUGAUUCUGAAUUCUUUGGCAAGCUAGACCCAUCAAUUCGUGAUGAACAUGAGUCACGGGUGAGUUAUGAGUUACUCAUAUCCGUGAGCAUGGCCCAAUUAUCUCUGUUCUCUAGUAUAUGAAUACUUUGUUCCUUAGAGGCAAGAUGACUGUAUAAACUAUAUCGCUUUUGUUACCGACAAAAGUGUACUCGAAUGAGGAUGGGAUAUAUGAGAUAUGGGGCCUAAUCUUAAAUAUGGUUGAUUGCCUUAUUUUCAUAUCGAUGACGAGCUCUGACCUCAUACUCACAGGCCAUUUUGAAAAGCUAUGUGGUGGCUGGAUCAGACACUGCCAAUCCAGAAAAAUUUCUGGCGUACAUGGUUCCUUCGUUGGAUGAGGUAGUCAUGCCUCUGUCUCCACGAACUGAUCUCUGUUAUAAACUUUUGUUAAAUAUGUAUGUUGCUGUGCCAGUUGUCUAAGGAUAUGCAUGAUGAAGACGAAGAUAUCUCUUACACUUGGGUUCGCGAAUACCACUGGGAUGUAUGUACCGUAGCCAAUGUGGUUUGAGUGAAAUUUUGAUUGUUUUGAGUUGCAGAUUGAAAUAAAUAUGUUACCUGAUGUUAUAACAGGUACGUGGUGAUGAUGCAAAUGAUAUUGGCACAUACCUGGUAUCGUUUGAUGAUGGGGCCGCUAGCUAUCUGGUAUGCCGUAGACAAUACCUGCAUCGCUUUUUGUAUCUUUUUGUUACAUAUUUCAGUUGUGUAUCUUUGUCUCUGUCUAUAAUACUUUGGGAUGACCCACCCUUGAGAAUUUGGCAGCCCCUACCCACGAAGCUGAACUUGAGGAAGAAAAGGCCCAGGGAAGGAAGAUCUUCUGAUGAGAUUGAACACUUUCCAGUACCUUCAAGGGUGACUGUAAGGCGAAGAUCAACUGUAUCAGUGAUCGAACAUAAAGAUUCAGGGGUAUAGUAAAUCCAUACAUUUAGCCUUUAAAAAGAGUAAUACAAGAAGUAUGUGGAAAGUUCUUGUUCUCUUACCAAUUCCUUUGGACUUUGGGGCUUUGGAUGUAGGUUUACUCUUCUAGGGUUGGUGCUUCGAGCUCCAAGAUGAGAAGAUUAGAGGACGAAGAAGGCCUUGGUAGAUCUUGGAAACAUGAGCCGGAACAAGAUGCCAAUCAAUAUAGUGAUGGUAAUGAGGAUGAUUAUUCUGAAUGAACGUUUUAUGUACUUCAAACUAUUCAAUCGGUUUUCCAAUGGUGUGUGAAGUAUCCUGCAAGGCUACUUUUAGGCUAAUUUAAAGCGUAAUAUGGCCUCGACCAGAGCCUCGUAAUUUGGCAAGUAAAGAAAUAUUGAUUUGGAUAGCUGGCGAAGCUGAAAAACGAUUUGACAUGUACACGUCCAUGGUUAAAUGAAUUGGCCAUUUCGUUAGGCUUUUACGACUUUGAUCCUAUCUACGUGGAGCUUGUGGCCAUCAAUUCACUAUCUCACAUAGACGAGAGCUUUGAGAAGUACAACAAUGGUGAAAUAGUACUCUCUUACACAAAACAAGAAAAGAAAAAGAAAGGCAAACUUUCUCCACCAGUCAAGAAGUAUGUCUGUCUAGUGUUUGUGGAUGACUGUGAACCAGUUGAGAUAAACAUACAUGUCUGGACAUCAUCCUCUAUGCAUCUGCUUUCACUUCUUUUCCUCUUUCUUUCUAUGUCUAUUUAAGAUGGAAAUGUAUUGGAGACUUUUAUUACAAAAGUUUAGAAUAUAAGUAUGGGACAAAAGUUCUCGAAGAUGGAAUAAACGGCAAAUUGGUACAUCAAUUGGGAGAAUAUAUAAUGUUCAUCCUGCUUCUGGGGAAUUGUAUUAUCUUCGAAUGUUAAUCAAUUAUAAAAAACGACCCACAAGUUAUGAAGAUAUUCUUACAGUAGAUGGUAUAACUCAUAGUACUUUUAAAGAUGCAUGUGUUGCAAUGAGUCUAUUAGAAGGAGAUGAAGAGUGGCAUGAGGCUAUGAAAGAAGCCUCUCUUUGGGCUACAGCAAAUCAAUUGCGUAAUCAAUCUGUCAUGUUAGGGUUUAGGGUUUAGGGUUUAGGGUUUGGGGUUUAGGGUUUGGGGUUUAGGGUUUAGGGUUUAGGGUUUGGGGUUUAGGGUUUAGUCCGAGUAAGGUUCUGACACAUGUUAUCUCAUUCUAUGUUUACACGCUUGUUCAUCUCCAGGUUUGGAAUCUUGGUUAAUUACCUUACCCAACUUUUACAUUGGCCAAUGACGAUAAGCCCUAUCUAAUUACCGUCUCUGAUGAUCACUCUGUUAAGGUCGAAUUCUGUUCACUUCUCUGUUAUAUAAUGCAUGUUUACUUGUAACUCUUAUACUGUGGCGUAGGUUAACCUAUUUGUUUGCCUAGUGGUUUAGGGUUUAGGAGCGAUCAAAAGAGCGAAGAGAGAGAAAAGAGAUCCAUGAAAAAGAAGAGAUCUAUCGUUUAUGAUGAUGGAGAAAAAGAGAUCUGGGAUCAAAGAUUCAAAAAAUCUAGAAAAAUAGAUCUAGGGCGUUGAUGAUGAUGGUGGAGAAGAAGAGGAGAAGAAGAGAAGAAGAAGAAGAGGAUAAGAAGAAACGUGAAAAUUAUGUGGAGAAGAUAUGGAUUAGCAAAAGAAAUGACAAGGGUACGUAAUUUGUGUGUUAGAUUAAGGGUUUUUGGACUUUGAACAUAUAUUUUGAUUUAAAAGAAAAUGAGAAAUAAAAUUAAAAUAUAGGGGUGGCAAAUACGAUUAGUUUUAUGGAGAAAGUGGCAUUCUAGCCAUUGUUUCGAUAGAUCAGUUGGAACAAAAGACGGACCACACGAUUGGAAUUUUUUAUUUUCCAGAUAUGUCAAUGAGAUUUUCCUUAUAUUUCUCCCAUCUUAUUUUCGUCUUGUUUUUGUUGUUGUAGAUGGUUUUUCUUAUCCAAACGGAAAAUUCCUUUGUUUGAUUAGGAUAUAAAUUGCGUAUAUAUUUAUCUUCUUCUUUUUCAUUUUUCUAACAAAAUAAAUAUUUAUCUUUUUGGAUAAUAAAAAAUUCACUAGUAGAAUAUACAAAAAAUAAGAUAGAAGCAUCAUUGUUUUCUCUCUUAAGUGAUACAAGUUCGAAUGGUAACAAUGUAUUUGGCUGUAUAGAAAAUGCGGGUUUUACAAUAAAGUACGGUUCAACUAUGGUAUGUAUUGGAGAAAUGUAUUUGCGAGAUAAGUACGGUUUUUACAGAAUAAACACUGCAAAAAAAGUUGAUUGGUUAAAAAAGUUGAUUGAAUACAUAUAUAUAGGAGACUAACUUAUAUUUAAUCUAAAUAAAUUAGAAAAUAGUAAAUAUUUUAAAUUUCUUAAUUCUUAUUCCAAUAGGAAUAAUUCUCACAAGUCUCAGAUGCCCAAGGGACACACGGAGGAGAAGAAGCCGACGCCUCUACUCACCACCGACAGGGUCGAGAAUAGGUUAAAGAAACCAACCACCUUCAUCUGCAAGCUCAAGUCAGUAUUCUCACUUCUAGCAAACGACUAACUACAUCGUGUUUACAUAUUAGACUGAUAAUCAUCUUCUUGAAGGUUCCGGAAUGAGCUCCCUGACCCUAGUGCUCAGCUUAAGCUUAUG